rnacentral:rRNA from 1 species
AUUGAACGCUGGCGGCAUGCCUUACACAUGCAAGUCGAACGGCAGCAUGGAGAGCUUGCUCUCUGAUGGCGAGUGGCGAACGGGUGAGUAAUGCAUCGGAACGUACCGUGUAAUGGGGGAUAACGUAGCGAAAGUUACGCUAAUACCGCAUACGACCUGAGGGUGAAAGCAGGGGAUCGCAAGACCUUGCGUUAUACGAGCGGCCGAUGUCAGUUUAGCUAGUUGGUGCGGUAAAGGCUCACCAAGGCGACGAUCUGUAGCGGGUCUGAUAGGAUGAUCCGCCACGCUGGGACUGAGACACGGCCCAGACUCCUACGGGAGGCAGCAGUGGGGAAUUUUGGACAAUGGGGGCAACCCUGAUCCAGCCAUGCCGCGUGAGUGAAGAAGGCCUUCGGGUUGUAAAGCUCUUUCGGCCGGGAAGAAAUCGCACAGGCUAAUACUCUGUGUGGAUGACGGUACCGGCAUAAGAAGCACCGGCUAACUACGUGCCAGCAGCCGCAGUAA